CAGUCGCCACGGUAAUACGUAGGUGGCAAGCGUUGUCCGGAAUUAUUGGGCGUAAAGGGCUCGCAGGCGGUUUCUUAAGUCUGAUGUGAAAGCCCCCGGCUCAACCGGGGAGGGUCAUUGGAAACUGGGAAACUUGAGUGCAGAAGAGGAGAGUGGAAUUCCACGUGUAGCGGUGAAAUGCGUAGAGAUGUGGAGGAACACCAGUGGCGAAGGCGACUCUCUGGUCUGUAACUGACGCUGAGGAGCGAAAGCGUGGGGAGCGAACAGGAUUAGAUACCCGAGUAGUCCCUGUCUCUUAUAC
rnacentral:rRNA from 1 species